UAUUGCCACCAAAGAUGACUGUGAUUGAGCUGUGUGUAUUAUUUAACCCAAUCACAGCCAUCUUUGGUGGUGAUAA